rnacentral:rRNA from 1 species
CUUAAGCAUAUCAAUAAGCGGAGGAAAAGAAACCAACAGGGAUUGCCCUAGUAACGGCGAGUGAAGCGGCAACAGCUCAAAUUUGAAAUCUGGCGCCAGCCCGAGUUGUAAUUUGUAGAGGAUGCUUCUGGGCAGCGGCCGGUCUAAGUCCCUUGGAACGGGGCGUCAUAGAGGGUGAGAAUCCCGUAUGCGACCGGCUGGCACCCGUCACGUAGCUCCUUCGACGAGUCGAGUUGUUUGGGAAUGCAGCUCUAAAUGGGAGGUAAAUUUCUUCUAAAGCUAAAUACCGGCCAGAGACCGAUAGCGCACAAGUAGAGUGAUCGAAAGAUGAAAAGCACUUUGGAAAGAGAGUUAAAAAGCACGUGAAAUUGUUGAAAGGGAAGCGCAUGCAACCAGACUUGUCGGCGGUGUUCCGCCGGUCUUCUGACCGGUUUACUCUCCGCCGGCAGGCCAGCAUCGUCUGGGGCCGCCGGAUAAAGGCGCGAGGAAUGUGGCUCCCUCGGGAGUGUUAUAGCCUCGCGCACAAUACGGUGCGCCCCGGGCGAGGUCCGCGCUUCGGCUAGGAUGCUGGCGUAAUGGUUGUCUGCGGCCCGUCUUGAAACACGGACCAAGGAGUCUAACAUCUAUGCGAGUGUUCGGGUGUCAAACCCCUACGCGUAAUGAAAGUGAACGGAGGUGGGAGCUUAGGCGCACCAUCGACCGAUCCUGAUGUCUUCGGAUGGAUUUGAGUACGAGCAUAGCUGUUGGGACCCGAAAGAUGGUGAACUAUGCCUGAAUAGGGUGAAGCCAGAGGAAACUCUGGUGGAGGCUCGCAGCGGUUCUGACGUGCAAAUCGAUCGUCAAAUUUGGGUAUAGGGGCGAAAGACUAAUCGAACCAU